rnacentral:lncRNA from 10 species
GGAAGGAAGGAGGGAAAGAAGGAAGCCUUCUUUAUUCCUGGCUCAGACCUCUGCUCACACUCCUAAUUGUGAUUCCUAUGAAGUGAAGAUGCUCAGAGCACCUGGCUUUUCUUUCCUACAAUAGUGUCUCAUUUAUCUUCCCUGUCUGAGGUAAACAUCUGUUGAACCAAAUUGACAACAAUAGGGGAGGUGUUAUUGACAUGGGGCAGGGUGCUUUGUGUAUCCAGAUGCUUAGAAGCCUAGUCCUGGGCAAUUUUCCUGGAUGAUGGGGAAGAAAUAGCCAAGGGGGGCAGGCUGUGUGAUGGGCCACAUGGAAUUCUUAGUUACACAGCCCCUUGGUUCUUGCUGCUCCCCUUUGUGCUUGUCACUUUCCAUUUGCCUUCCCUUUGUCUCAAGUCAAUUCAUAUUACUCUUCCUAUUGAGGCAUGAUGUUACCUGGUACCAUUCCAAUUCUGAAGCUGCCUGCAUAUUAAUCUUGACAAUGCACCUGUGGUUUCACUCAUUCUUAUUUUAGCUGCUAAUCCAAACAGUCCCAUCUGUGCUCUGUAUCACCUUGCUUAUAUCAGAAGAAGAGUUGGGAGCAGGACAUACUGAUUCACACUUCCAUUGACCAUGGGCCAAGAUCCACCAGCCCCUGCCAAGGGCAGGGAUGAUAAAUGCUAUGCAUGGGGAAGAAUUAUUCUUGCUAAUGAUCUCCGCCUUAGAAAACCUCAGCCCCUGAUGAGACCCUCAGUUCAUCUUUCUACAUUUGUUGAGGCUUCAACCAACAGAGGCAACAAGAAAGCCAUUUCCAGCAACAAGGGCCUGCCUGUGUCGACAGCAAUCAUACAACCACCCUAACUACAGGAAUAGUUUCAUGGUCAAAAUAACAGACCCAAGCCUGGUACCCUGAUCC